rnacentral:rRNA from 1 species
UGAGGAAUAUUGGUCAAUGGGCGCGAGCCUGAACCAGCCAAGUAGCGUGAAGGAUGAAGGUCCUAUGGAUUGUAAACUUCUUUUAUAGCAGAAUAAAGUGACCCACGUGUGGGUUUUUGUAUGUAUGCUAUGAAUAAGGAUCGGCUAACUCCGUGCCAGCAGCCGCGGUAAUACGGAGGAUCCGAGCGUUAUCCGGAUUUAUUGGGUUUAAAGGGUGCGUAGGCGGAAAGAUAAGUCAGCCUGUGAAAGUUUGCGGCUCAACCGUAAAAUUGCAGUUGAUACUGUUUUUCUUGGGUGUACAUAAGGUAGGCGGAAUUCGUGGUGUAGCGGUGAAAUGCUUAGAUAUCACGAAGAACUCCGAUUGCGAAGGCAGCUUACCGGGGUACAACUGACGCUGAUGCACGAAAGUGUGGGUAUCAAACA